rnacentral:sRNA from 1 species
AUGACUAGAAGAACUAGAGCAACUUUUACACCAGAAUUUAAACUUGAAGCAGCGCAGUUAGUUGUUGAUAAAGGCUACUCAAUUAGAGAGGCGGCCGAAGCCAUGAAUGUUGGU